CCCUGGAGUAGUGUACAGUGUAAGUGUCAGAUGGGUACGAACGUCAUCUUGUGACAGCAUCACCUUUGUUUGGCUAAAGUACAAGAGAACUGCAGCAUCUAAGACUACAUGUACAUCAACUUUGAAUAAUCUACCCGGUAUAUCCUCAAAAAGGCAACUCAAAUACAGAAAGUGCAUAUAAUUUGGAAAAGAGACCAUCAAUCCACUGGGGGGUAUCGCAUGAAAGCAAUGAUUAUAGAAUAUUGUAAGGCUGGAGGAGUUAUAGUACAACAGGCAGGCAAGUAAUGGUACUUUGUUCUGGAAAUUUU